rnacentral:tRNA from 1 species
GGAGGGGUGGCCGAGAGGCUGAAGGCGCCGGUUUGCUAAACCGGUAUACUGGGAAACCGGUAUCGAGGGUUCGAAUCCCUUCCCCUCCGCCA